rnacentral:misc_RNA from 1 species
GAUGAAGAACGUAGCGAAAUGCGAUAAGUAAUGUGAAUUGCAGAAUUCAGUGAAUCAUCGAAUCUUUGAACGCACAUUGCGCCCCUUGGUAUUCCGAGGGGCAUGCCUGUUCGAGCGUCAUUAUAACCCCUCAAGCUCAGCUUGGUGUUGGGGCCUGCCGCACGGGCAGCCCUUAAAAUCAGUGGCGGUGCUAUCUGGCUCUAAGCGUAGUAAUUCUUCUCGCUAUAGAGUCCCGGUGGAUGCUUGCCAUUAACCCCCAAUUUUCUAUGGUUGACCUCGGAUCAGGUAGGGAUACCCGCUGAACUUAAGCAUAUCAAUAGCGGAGGA